AGGGGGGACAGGAGGCGGCACCAUGGGGACAUGUGAACAGGCGCUGUCCUGCUGCGGUCAUCUCCAUCAGCAUCUGCACCCAGGCUGUUGCACGGGGAUUCACGCUGUCAGCUCCGGCGGCCGUUCCCGCGGGCUCUGGCUCCGCAGGCUCCCCGCUGACACCAGCUCCAGCGUGCUGGGGCAGAUCCCACCCUCUGAAGUGGGGAUUCCCAGAGCGGGAAUGAGGCUUCACCCGGUGCAAACACGCAGCAAACCAGCCCCGUCACAUCGCUCAGGCAUCCCGAGGUCAGCGCCAGCGCCGGCUUCAAAGGUGCUGCACGUCCUCCCACGGCACCUCCACCGGGAAUUCUGCUUCCUCGGCUGCGUGGGGAGAGGAGGUGGCAGCUGGGAUUAGGUCGUGGUCCUGCAGAUCACAGGGAUGCUCAUGUCUGAGCCCCGUGAGGAGCCUGGAGAGAGGGGAUGCAGGAAAGCGGUGCUGUUCCUGCUGCAAGGAGGAGCUUCCCAUCAUCAAAGUCCAUCUAAUUCCACCAGGAUGUGGCUGUGGCCAUGGCCCAGCCGGUGCAUGAGGCUGAGGGAUGGAAACACCAUGGAUGAACCCUAUCUGCAGGUUUCUCAUUAAAGGCUCAUGGCUAAUUACAA